CGUCGCUGGGUGACUCACAGGGGCUCCAAAAUGCAGCUGAGCUCGUGUCCCUGGGCAGGCAGGCUGCAGGGGAUCUGAGUGGGCAGGGAGGCAGUGUCCCAGCAGCUGGCUGUGCUUGUAGGGUGGCGGGCAGGCUGGGGGCACCCCACGCUCCAGUGACAGCUGCUGGUCUACAGGCUGCCACGGCAGAGGUGACGGCACAUUCAGUUCUCUGAAGGUACUUUGCUUAUGUAUGUCGUCUUCUUUUCCACCCUCCUUCCAGCACACACACGUUUCUCUCUUCACCUGAUUUAAAAAUUCAGCUACGGAGAUUUCCCUGCUUGAGAUACAGCACCUAAGGAGGAGCUGGCUGUCAGCUGAAGCCCUUCUCUGACUGCAUGGAAAUCCUGAUUUAAAUCCGCACUGAAAGAGGCAGACAGCUUCCACAAGAGCUAUUCCCUAUGCUGCUGGGUGCAGCGAUCCUGGGAUCCAUCUCUUUUGCUAUCAGCUUUGGCCAUGAAGUUUUUAAGAUUCCAAGGGAGUGCCUCCUUGUUGAAGAAGCACUCCCUCCAGUCUUUGCUGCUUGCAGAUUUCUCCGUGCUGUGAUGAAUUGCUUUGCUCAGCCCAGGAAAAUGAACAUAUUCAUCAGCAUUUCACGUGCCAAUAUGGGUAACAGUGGUAGUCUGAGCUCCCUAGGGACGGACCUUUGCCUUGCUGGAUCCUUCCUUCCUAUUCUGCAUUAAACUCAACGUGUCCUAACAUCAGACCCAAAGGUUUUUUGCAAGAUUACCUUGGAGGUUACAGAACCGACUGAAGACUUGAAGAACAGAUGGAAGCUUUGCAGACUUUUGAAUUGCCAAAGAAGGGUGCUUAAUGAAAAAGUAUUGCCAAAAAAAGGUUGUUUAAUGAGAAAACCAGCAACAUUUUCUGCUGUACUUACAUAAAGAGUGUGUUUUUAUGGUCCACAAUGUAAGAAAUCUGACCCUUUUUUCUUUUAUUACUACAUAGGACACAAAGCCUUGAUGCUGACUGAUGUUGCACGUAGUUUUGCUGCAGGCCAUUGGCCAGCCCCAGCCCCAGCCGUGCUGUCAGGCCCUGCCCUGCUGCCGACCUUUCCUGCCACUUCUCACUUUCCAUUUGUUUGCUUUCUUUAUCAGCCCUGACCCUUGUCAAUACACCCCUAGGAAGGUCGGCAGCAUGGAACUGGAUGCGCGGGAGUUAGGGAGGAGGCUGCAGCCCUCUGCGAAGUGUUAUUUUCUGACAGAAAUUGGCUGCAGUUAUUUACCCCUUGCCAAAGAGUUUAAAAAUGGCACGCUUGCUGAUCCAGGUGAUUUUACGAGGAGGUGGUGCCUGCCAUUUCCCAUCAUAGCUGCUAAUUGCUAAUCACAGAGCUGAUAUAAUUAUACUGCAGACAGCUGAAUUAAUUCCUGAAAAACCCUCAUACCAUACAGACACCAGUUACUCUGAGAGCCUGAAAAAUCUCGAAGAGGUGAAUUUUUCCACUCCAGGUUGGAUGGGGCCUUGGGCAGCCUGAUCUAGUGGGUGGCAACACAGCCCACGGCAGUAGAGUUGGAACCAGAUGGUCUUUAGGGACCCUUCCAACCUAAGCCAAUCCAUGAUUCUAUGAUUACUCUUACUACAGUUUACGUUAGAGGCUUGUCUUUUAGGAAGAUAAUCUUGGGGAUUGGGGUGAGGACAGAGUCAUACAUAAAUAUAGCACAUGGCAAAUGCUCCACUUGGCGUUCAUAAAGCUUGCCUUUUAGGAAUGGAAGGGAUGACAACUGCUGGUCACAGUGAGCAGGGCAAACGUGUUCUCCAUGCAAUUUGGUGUUUUUUUCUGAUUUUGUAGUACUUGGAAGUAGCAAUUUUUUAAACUGGCCUGUUCACACAUCUAAGUGAAACCUUAAAAAUCCCGUUGGCUAAGAAGGCAAGGAAUAUGAGGCAUAAAUGAUCCUCCUUCAUUAAAAGCUUUUCUCCCUACUUUGUCCUUCAUCAUACAGACUCAUGUUGCCCUAGAAGAUGCAGCAAUGUCAGAACAUGAUGUAAAAUAAUUCCAGUGAUAAAGUGUUAAUCACAAUCUUGUACAAUCAAAGAAAACUGCUCAGGAACACAUUACGCUUACUUUUGUGGCAGCAAAUUAUUGCCAAACCCUCCUUCGGCCAAACUCUUCUCCAUAUACUGUAUGUAUAUGUAUAUGUAUAUGUAUAACAGUAAACAUUUUACUGGCUCUGAGCUGGAAGGGACCAUUAAAACUCUGGUUACCAGAAACUGUGACAUUUGUUGCACAGCAGCUGUACAUGUACUUGUUCCCCUUGCCAUGGCAGAUGGCAAGAGCUAGGAGUGAAGUGGGUUAACCCAACUGUCUGCUCACCUCAAGGUAACUCAGAUCACUGCAGCAUAUUUUCACUUGUAAUUAAGCUGCUUCAAACUGCCUUCAGAGCAGCAGUGAUUGAGGAUGCGCAUGGAUGGAUCGCCUGGCACAAUCAUUUUACCCCUCAGCAACCUGUGUAAUGGCUUUUGUUCAUGGUCUGUGUCUUUGAUCGCCUUCUUGAUUUCUUUAAUAUCACAAGGCAUUAUCAAGAUAUUUCAUCAUUUUGUGGAUUGCAAAGUCUCACUCGGCACCAUUUUUACUAAUGGAAUCUUUCAGUGGCACAGAGUUUUCCAGCAAAAAUAAGGGAUUGGGUCAGGCUUGUGGCACAUCACUAGAUGAAAGGUCAAUUGUGCUUCUUCAUAUGACAAUCUGACUUUAAGGAAAAAGAUUAUCCACCUACUUUCAUCAUGCCAAAGGUAAAAAUGUACUCUUGCACAUAUUGAGAACUAUUUUUGCAUUAAAAAUGACUAAAAUGUAUAGCUGGACCACUGCAGUAUUCUAGUCCCAUUGAAGCUAAUUGUAAAACCCAUCACACCUUCUAGAAGAGGAAGAAAAAAACCUAUUCAUACAAACAAUUCAAUUUUGAAAUAAAUCCAACUUAUGAGCUUAUGUUUCACUAUAAAUUGAUUCUGUUUAGUAGAAAUCAACAUGUCAAAUCAUCUGUGUUCCUUUCUGUACUGUCCAUUUCUCUUCAAGCAUUUAAAUACUGAGAGUCUUGCACACACAUUAUAGGGUUAAUGUCAUGCUCAGGCCAUCAGUAGUAAGAUGGCAAGAAAACAGAA